UUAAAGGUAGUUUAAUAAAAUUUUAACUUUGGAAGUUAAAGAUUAAGGUUAGCCUUACCUUUAAA
rnacentral:tRNA from 1 species